rnacentral:rRNA from 1 species
AUGAAUGCUAAAUAUAAACUUGCUGGAGAUAAGGGUAGAAAACAUGUUGUGUUUGCACCUGGAGAUCUUGUUUGGUUACAUUUGCGUAAGGAUAGAUUUCCUGAUUUGCGCAAAUCAAAGCUAAUGCCACGUGCUGACGGUCCCUUUAAGGUGUUAGAGAAAAUAAAUGAUAAUGCAUAUAAACUUGAGCUGCCUGCAGAUUUUGGGGUUAGUCCCACUUUUAACAUUGCAGAUUUGAAGCCUUAUUUGGGUGAGGAAGAUGAACUUCCGUCGAGGACGACUUCAUUUCAAGAAGGGGAGGAUGAUGAGGACAUCAAUCCAUUGUUACACCCACAGCCCCUGCUGCUAUACAUACUGGACCAAUUACUAGAGCUCGUGCACGCCAACUAA